GAUAAACGCUGGCGGCGUGCUUUAUGCAUGCAAGUCGAACGGUUUUGAUUUAUCAAGAUAGUGGCGAACGGGUGAGUAACACGUAAGUAACCUGCCCCUACGUGGAGAAUAACUUCGGGAAACUGAGGCGAAUACUGCAUGUGAUGGCGAGGGUAAUGCUUCGUCAUUAAAGCUUUCGGGUGCUUGGGGAGGGGCUUGCGGUCGAUUAGCUAGUUGGUAGGGUAACGGCCUACCAAGGCAACGAUCGAUAGCUGGUCUGAGAGGAUGAUCAGCCACACUGGGACUGAGACACGGCCCAGACUCCUACGGGAGGCAGCAGUGGGGAAUAUUGGACAAUGGGCGCAAGCCUGAUCCAGCAAUACCGCGUGUGUGAAGAAGGCCCUAGGGUUGUAAAGCACUUUCAAUUGGGAGGAAAACCUGCCGGUCAAUACCCGGCAGCUUGACAUUACCUUUAGAAGAAGCACCGGCUAACUCCGUGCCAGCCGCCGCAGUAAGAC
rnacentral:rRNA from 1 species